AUUGAUGAGCAGUUGCAGGGAUUUUCAUUAAGAGAUUUUACAUUCUCCUCUUCCUCUUCUUCUUCUUCGUCAUCAUCAUCAUCAUCUCAUUCUUUGUUUAUUAUUAUUGUUAUUAUUAUUAUGGCGAGAUGUGUGAAGGCUCUUAAUGAUAACCUUAAGCUUACACUGAGCAAUGAGUGUGUGAUACUACACGAUCUGAGGGCGUUAAAAAUCGGAUAUCACUGUUACUUAUCAAAUCUCAGUUUGAUUGGUUUGACCAGGCGUCCUAAGUUGUGGUUGAGAUGUGUUACUCUCACACCAUUGUUUGGUUGACAUGUUAGUAGCAUCUCGGAACUGAUAAAUAUCUCUAGUCCUGUUCGUUCAAAUGAAUUAAGCAGUUAGUUCACUAUGAGCAUGAAGCUUGAUUUUUCCUUUCAGUUUGUGAUGUACAGAAGUGAACGUAUAAGCUUGAAAAACGUAUUAGCUGUCUGAGUACUCUGCCAAGAUAUGUCAAGACUCAAAUUCAACGUAUAUGUGGAACAGAUGCAGAUCAAAUAAAUCUAAUCAGGAAAAAUGAAACUGUGAUCUAAGAUGUCAACUCCCAUGGAACAAGAGGAUUAUGAGCAAAAGACCGGGUAUUUGAGCUUAAGAACCGAAAAGGAAGAUGUGAUUUCAACAUCAUAUCGUAUCAACUCUGUAACUUCUUUUUGCAAGGAUUUCAGAUUUAUAUUGCAGAUAUCAAGCAAGGGGAAGUGUAAGAGCUUGUUUCAUCGAGCUGUAGUUGGGAACUUAUGACAACAGGACCAUCAAAAGAAAUCAACAUCACUUGAUGGUACUCGUGUUUGGUUUAGUAGUGUUUAAGGAAGUUCACUUGCUUUUUUUAUUAAUUAACAAUAAAACAACAAACGUGUGAGUGUGACGUGAUGUUGGACUGGCAAGUAAGGGUUCAAAAAUAAAUGUGUGAUCUCAGGAUGGGAGCACUGG